CAUGUAGGCGGUCUGUCAAGUCUGAUGUGCAAGCCCGGGGCUCAACCCCGGAAGUGCAUUGGAAACUGGCAGACUUGAGUACGGGAGAGGAAAGUGGAAUUUCGAGUGUAGGGGUGAAAUCCGUAGAUAUUCGAAGGAACACCAGUGGCGAAGGCGGCUUUCUGGACCGAUACUGACGCUGAGAUGCGAAAGCGUGGGGAGCAAACAGGAUUAGAUACCCUGGUAGUCC
rnacentral:rRNA from 1 species